GACGAACGCUGGCGGCGUGCCUAAUACAUGCCAGUUGAGCGCUGAAGGUUGGUACUUGUACCAACUGGAUGAGCAGCGAACGGGUGAGUAACGCGUGGGGAAUCUGCCUUUGAGCGGGGGACAACAUUUGGAAACGAAUGCUAAUACCGCAUAAAAACUUUAAACACAAGUUUUAAGUUUGAAAGAUGCAAUUGCAUCACUCAAAGAUGAUCCCGCGUUGUAUUAGCUAGUUGGUGAGGUAAAGGCUCACCAAGGCGAUGAUACAUAGCCGACCUGAGAGGGGGAUCGGCCAAAUUGGGAAUGAGACACGGCCCAAACUCCUACGGGAGGCAGCAGUAGGGAAUCUUCGGCAAUGGACGAAAGUCUGACCGAGCAACGCCGCGGGAGUGAAGAAGGGUUUCGGAUCGUAAAACUCUGUUGGUAGAGAAGAACGUUGGUGAGAGUGGAAAGCUCAUCAAGUGACGGUAACUACCCAGAAAGGGACGGCUAACUACGUG
rnacentral:rRNA from 1 species